AGCAAUCCAACUCCACAUGUUUUGUUCGCUAGUAAAAGACCAAGUUUUUCGCGAUGUGAAUAUCUGCCUAACUAUUGGAGAGUAGAUCAACAGGAAGGGGAGCAGAAAUAGAAAGAUCAGAGAGCAAGCGGACGAGCCAGGUAACCUCACCAGUAACUCAACACAUAGAUCUGUACUCUGCUUCAGUAGAGGAUAAUGAAGCUGAAGUUUGUUUCUUUGAUUUCCUGGAGACAGGAGAACCCCCAAAGUUGAUAAAGAACCACUGAUGGAUCUGCGGGUUUGUAGACAAGUACCCUAAUCCAAGUCAUAAAAGGCAAGGAGUUGAUAAUCAGGCCUGGAAUUUAGAAAAAGCCCUAAACCUGGAUCCUUGAGGAGAUAACAGAGACAAUGAAAGUCAACAUCGAGAUAAGGUUUAUGGGGGGUUUUCAUGAAUUGGCCGAGAUGGUGCACUGCAAAGGACAAUUCUUGUUGGGUAUGCAUUAGGAAAUUAAGUUUUCCUAACAAUCGAUGAUAAAAUGUGGGAUCUUGGAUAGGAACUCCAAUGUCUGCUCUCAAUUGCUGGGUGGGAUCCAAUGGAGAAUGAGCUGCUUUCAUGCUCAAGAAAUAGAAUCUAGUCAAAAGAUCUAAGGUAAACUUCCGUUGAGUCAAAAUGAUACCUUGUGUCUCCCUUAGGAUUUUAAAACCCAAAAACAAUGUGCAUCCCCUAGAUCUUUUAUUUGGAACUCACAAUGAAGGAAAAGUCUAAGGCUUUCUUGUUCAGGAAAACCAUCCCCUGUAAUUAAAAGGUCAUCAAAAUACACUGCAACAAUUGUAAUCUUGCUUGCUGACCUUUUAAAAAAUAAUGAAUAAUCAUUGAGAGAGUGAUAAUAGUUUUUAAAGUUUAGUGUUGCGGUGAGUCUUGCAUAUUAUUGCCUUGAGGCUUGCCGCAGUCCAUAAAGGGACUUCUCUAAGAGACAAACAUGAUUAGGUGAAGGUGGUGUAUUCCCAGUAGGGAAUUUCAUAAAUACCUCUUCCUGCAAAUCACCAUGCAUGAAGGCAUUGUUCACGUCCAAUUAUGACACCUGCCACCCAUUCUUUACUACAAUAGCAAGGAGGCAUCUGAUAGUUGUCAUCUUGAAAACUUGGGGAAAAGUCUCGGUUAAGUUGGUUCCUUCUCUUUGUGUGUCUCCCCGGAUAACCAAACAAGCCUUGAAUCUCUCUAAAGAGCCAUUAGAUCUGUACUUUACCUUGUAAACCCAUUAAUAAGGUAUAGCUCUUUUCCUUUAGGUAGCAGUACAACUUCUCAGGUUUUGUUCAAUUCUAAAGUCUUUAUCCUUUUUCAUUGCUUCCUGCUAACCUGGAUGUAAUACUGUCUGAGAAUAGGAAGAGGGUUUAGUAAGAUAGGAAGUAGAAUUGAGCAAAGACUGAUUUAUAGAAGGGGUUGGAAGGGCAAAAUAGUGGAUUGAUUGGGUAGAAUGAAACAAGAAAGUGUGAGAUCUGUGAGAAAAAUUGAGUUGCACACAUAAUCUUUGAGAUAGGAGGGUGGAUUAUGAGGUUUACUAGACUUCCUGAAUGCAUGAAGAUGUGUAGGAACAAGUGGCAUAGGAGAUGAGGUAUAUGAUGGAGUACGACCUGUGUCCGUAGCUAAAGGGAAUUGGCUUGAGCUGGUUGGGUUAGGAAAAGUGGGUAUUGACAAUAAGGGUGUGUGUGAAAUAUCUGGCUUAAUAGCAUCAUGGUCUGAGAGGUAAUCUUCCUUUUGGUCUAGGUGUGUAGCUAUAGGGAAAAAAAGAUUGAUAGGUUUGGUAGUGGAAGCAAAAGUAUACUGAUUUUCAUAGAAACACACAUCUCUGGAAACAAUCACUUUUCUUGUCUACAAUUAUAGAAUUUUGUAUCCUUUUUACCCCAAUGGAUAACCCAAAAAAUUUACACAAGGUUUGGCCCUUGGAUCAAACUUAUGUUUCCCAGCUGCUAAAGUGGACACAUAGCAAAGACAACCAAAGCACUUCAAAGAAUCAUAAGAGGGUUCCUAUUUGAAUAGAAUGAUAUAAGUUGUUUUUCCUUAGAGAAUCCUAGAAGGCAGUCGAUUGAUUAGAUAGGUAGCAAUCAAGAUACAUUCUCCCCAACAAAGAGUACGAAGUUUAGACUGAAACAAUAGGGCCCUUGAUUUCUAGUAAAUGUCUAUGAUUCCUCCCAACCACCCCAUUCUGUUGAGGGGUUGCCACACAUGAAGUUUGAUCUAGUAUACCUUGAGACACUAGAAAAGCUGCCUCGUGAGUGCCUUUCCCAAGCUCAAAGGCAUUACCAGACCUUCUCUUUUUCACCUUCACACUAAACUGUCUUUCCACCAUGACAAGAAAAUUUUUUAGAAGACCAAAGCCAUUGCUUUUGGUACUCAUAAGGAAAGUCCAAACUGCCCUGCUAUAGUCAUCAAAAAUAGUCAAAAAGUACUUGAAAUCAUUAUAGGUUGUUUCCUUGUAAGGUCCCCAAACAUCUAUAUGAAUUAACUCAAAUGCCCUUAUUGAUUUAAUUUGACUUAGAAGAAAGGAAGAUCUAGUUUGCCUAGCUUUAGGAAAAAUUUCACAAAAGCAUUCAGAGCGAGAAUGCAAAGAAAUAAAACUGGGAUGUUUCAUUGAUGAAAAAGGAAAAUGCCCUAGCCUAAUGUGCCAAAGGCUUACAUUUGGAACUGAACUUGCUGAAACAGGAAAAGAAACUGACAGCUGAUUAAAACUAUUUCUUAAAAUUGAAAUUGGUUCCCCACUAGUGCUAGACUUAUCUCCACUUGGCUCCAAAGGUAUAGUCCAUUCCUUGACUUACCAAAAACUUAUGCAUUCUUCACUAAAGGCCCCUUCAUCAUACAAUGAAUAAAAGUGACGAAUAGAAUAGAAUGAAAUUGUAAGCAAAACCUGUUAACGGACAAUAGAUUGUAUUUGAAACUAGGUACACAUAGAACAUUUUCCAAAAUGAAGUUAGGCAUAAUAGAUAUUUUUCCUAUGUGGGUUACAGUGACUUUGAAAGAAUGUGGUAGAUUUAUAUUUAGGGGGACUAACAGGGUUGUCAAAGAAACAAACGCACUAGAGUCAAAAUACAUGUGAUCAGAUGUACCAUAGUCAAUAAUGCAUGCGUUAGUAUUAAAAACUGAAAGACAAGUUCCAGAAUAUCUAGCAAUGGUACCAGUAACAACAUUGGAAUUUAUAUCAGAGUCUCCUCCCUUAACCUAUUUGAUUAAUUGAACUAACUGAGUGAAUUGACCAUGUGAAAGGUGUUGAUUGAGUGCUUCAUUGUGACUGGUUCCAUCAGGUUCUGCUCUUUCAGUUUGAAAUGCCUUACUGCUUCUAGCUUUUGCUUGAUGCCCUUUUGUGCAUUCAAAAUCUUCUGGAAAACCUAUAAUCCUGUAACAAUCAUUUACAGUAUGCCCUACUUUCUUGCAAUGACUGCAUGUUGCAUUUGGGUUGAAUUUAGCUUUCCCUCUCUUGAGAGUUGUCUUUCUUUAAGUAGCGGACUUUUGGUUGUUAUUUCCAAACUUAUGGUUUUGCUAAUUUGAUACUGCAUUUGAGUUCUUUGCAUCUGUCUCAUUCCUCUUGGUGCAAAGUUGUUUUGAUUUGUUACAUGAAGCAUGAAGAGUCUGUGGAGAUUAGUAGGUCAGCAAAGGCUUCUUUCUGGCUUUCAUCUUACAAAACUAGGGAAUAUGCAUGAUUGAUGGUUGGUAGAGGGUUCAUCAACGAGAUAGUUCCCCUUGAUUGACCAUAGUUGUCAUUCAAGCCCAUUAAAAACUGAAUAAGUCUCUCAUACUCUAUUGACUUUUCCAAUUUCUACUUCCCUUCACAUAUACAUAGUCAACUGCACCUUAUAUCACAGUUGAGAGAGUCUAGUUCAUCUCAUAGUUUCUUAAGUUUUGUAAAGUAGGUUGCUAUGUCACUGCUUCUUUGUGUCAACCUUGAUAACUCUUUCCUUAGAUGAUAGAGCUUAGCUCCAUUUGACUGUCUAAACCUAUGUUCAAGGAUGUUCCAGAGGUCUCUAGCAGAUCUGGAUUAAAUAACACUAUCUCCUAUGUCAUUAAACUAUGAAUUAAGAAACCAAGAUGUUACCAUGUCGUUACACCUACUCCAAGAUUGAAAAUCUGUGGAGGUAAGGGCUGGAGCAGGGCAAGCAACAUUGAUAAAUCCUAUUUUGUUUUUGGCAGAUAAAGCUUUGAGUAUAGAUCUUCUCCAGCCUUGGAAUCCUUUUCCAUCAAAAGCUGAGUUGACAAGAAAUAUUCCUGGCGUGUUAGAAGAAUGAAGAAAAUAUGCAUGGUUUGAAUCGAUGGUAUUUCUUCCAGCAUUAGUGGUUUGGUCUGCUGUUGUUUCAGUAUUAUCACCCAUGACCUAGUAUUGAUGUGAUGAUGAAGAAUGAAGAUGAAGGUGAUUUGAAGGAUCGAACAUUCACUACUCUGAUACCAUGAACGAGUAUUUAGGAAAAGACUGAUGAAUUUUUUU
rnacentral:lncRNA from 1 species